CCAAGCUGCACAGCACCUCAGGCUCCGCAGAGUCGUCGCUGUCAUCCUGUUUCUUCCCCUUCUCCAGGGACGACGUUGGAAAGGGAAGGUUUCCUGAAACCAAGGGGCUGGAGUCAGGCUCUGCCAGAGAAAGGGAAAUUUCUGCAGAGAGAGGAGUGACGGGUGUGCCUCUGACCCAGAGGGGAACAGAGAAGGGAGGCUGCAGGCCCAGAUGGACCAAGGAUUCUCAAGGAUGGCUUCAGUAGACUCCACUGAUGACAACUCUGAAUUCUCUCCAGCUGGCCUUUGCCCCCAAGUCACACAGCCCAGCACUCAGAAUGGCCUCCUAAGCACCAAGAGAUGUUUUCCUCACACUCCACUUUGGGACUGAAGUCUGUCUUAGGAAGGACAGGGUCCUAGAGCCUGGGUUACAGGAGCCUGUCAACUUUCCCAUGACUGUCAUCAAAUGCUGGUGACUACAAUCCAGCUAGAUCUUUGGUCUGAACUAUGCAUAAAUACACUAAUCAAGAAGCCCAAAUUCUCUACAUGAUUUUCCAAAUAGCUUUCCCUAAACCUGAAUGGUUCCUGGAAGUUUAAGGCUCUAAAAUAAAUAAUUUCAUGUGGUCA